GACGAACGCUGGCGGCGUGCUUAACACAUGCAAGUCGAACGGAAAGGCCCUGCUUUUGUGGGGUGCUCGAGUGGCGAACGGGUGAGUAACACGUGAGUAACCUGCCCUUGACUUUGGGAUAACUUCAGGAAACUGGGGCUAAUACCGGAUAGGAGCUCCUGCUGCAUGGUGGGGGUUGGAAAGUUUCGGCGGUUGGGGAUGGACUCGCGGCUUAUCAGCUUGUUGGUGGGGUAGUGGCUUACCAAGGCUUUGACGGGUAGCCGGCCUGAGAGGGUGACCGGCCACAGUGGCACUGAGAUACGGCCCAGACUCCUACGGGAGGCAGCAGUGGAGAAUAUUGCACACUGGGCGGAAGCCGGAUGCAGCAACGCCGCGUGCGGGAUGACGGCCUUCGGGUUGUAAACCGCUUUCGCCUGUGACGAAGCGUGAGUGACGGUAAUGGGUAAAGAAGCACCGGCUAACUACGU
rnacentral:rRNA from 1 species